UUUGGACUUGGCAUUGCAACAACUCUUAACCUGAAUUUCCAGCCUGCCAGCCUACCCACAAAUUCUGCACUGACCAGCCCCACAAUCAUAGAACUUCAGCCAACAAGUCUUCAGGUGCUCCUUCCUAUAGCAGAUGGUCCAGUUCACAGCCACAUCAGUCUAGCUCCACAGUGAGAGCCUAUCAAACUAGUAAGUCACGAGUGACCAUGAGCCCUGGCUUCAGCUCCCAGUGGAACAGCAGCCAACCAGCCUGGAAUACAUACACCUUUCCAAGAGCCAGCCUGCACUACCAGUCCCAUGCCAGC